rnacentral:rRNA from 1 species
AACGAACGCUGGCGGCAUGCCUAACACAUGCAAGUCGAACGAGACCUUCGGGUCUAGUGGCGCACGGGUGCGUAACGCGUGGGAACCUGCCCUUAGGUUCGGAAUAACUCCCCGAAAGGGGUGCUAAUACCGGAUAAUGUCUUCGGACCAAAGAUUUAUCGCCUUUGGAUGGGCCCGCGUUGGAUUAGCUAGUUGGUAGGGUAAAAGCCUACCAAGGCGACGAUCCAUAGCUGGUCUGAGAGGAUGAUCAGCCACACUGGGACUGAGACACGGCCCAGACUGCGCGGGGCGGGAGGAGGGGGGAGUGCGGCAUAGGGGGGACAGUGCUGUGCCAGCAGUGCCGUUGGGGGGAGGAUGGCCGUAGGGUCGUAAAGCUCUGCCGCCGGGGAUGAGACUGACUGUUGUGGGGGAAUCACCGCCGGCGACCGCCCGGCCAGCAGCGGCGGUGAUAAUGGGACCACCCCUCGCUCGCCC